rnacentral:lncRNA from 1 species
GACAAAGAAAUGAACUUUUGUCAGAGUUCCAAAAGAAUGCAAUACUUUUAGUCAAAUGUGGUAAUGUGAAGAGAAGAUGAGAGACACGUAAUGAAUAAAACACAUUCCUUCACACAAUAGACGUCCUGCAGGUGACUGGGCCCGCAGCAAUCUUACUGAAGACUCAACUUUGACUGACCUUUGUUGGGGUGAUUAACCUUGGAAAAUUAAAAACCUCCUCUGAAUUAGUCUGUCUAAUUUAAAUGCAAA